UGCCCCUCACUUGCCAAUACGUCUAGAUCAGCCAGGGCGUCGGCAUGUGUAGCGUAUUAUGUUGGGCUCUCUCGAGAUAAGGAUACGAUGUCCCUUUAUCGGUUGGUUUCCUGUGUGCGCGGCCCGUUCGUUUUUUUGUUACUUCGCAUCGUUCGGUGCAUUCUGGGGGCUGUGUUGGCUUUUGGUGGCUUGCUUGGCCUUUUGGCUUUGCUUGUUGCUACUUGUCGGGCUGCUUUCGGGAAUGUCGACCGUGGAGGUGCAUGAGUGGUGUUUGGUUUGUUACGUGUGGAUGGCUGUUUGCUUGUGCAACAACGUUCAUGCUGCAUACCUCUUCAGUUUUGCGGCAAGGCUUGGUUUGGCUUGUGCAUAUUGUGGGUUUCCUGUGUUGCAUACCUAGUUGAUGGAAAAGUGUGGGUAUUACGAUUUUCAUUUUCGUCUUGCGUCGUUCUUUCGGCGUGGGAUGAACAAUGAAGCGAUCUUUAUGAUCCAUCGUGCUGUUGCGUUUGCAACAAUGAUGUGGCCUAUGAAGCAUCGUUUGGUCUCUUGUAUACGGAAGCUCAUUUGGGCUUGGGUCUUUAUAAGAUCUUCGUUACGCCCUUGUUAAGCGUUCUCGCUUCUCCUAAACGAUUG
rnacentral:misc_RNA from 1 species